rnacentral:tRNA from 1 species
AGUAGGGUAAGCUAAUUAAGCUCUCGGGCCCAUACCCCGAAAAUGUUGGUUAAAAUCCCUCCCCUGCUG